AUGGCCGACGCGGGUCAAAGUGUAGUAUUGGUUUUUAUCAGCUCAUUAUCUGAUACGGGUUAUGUUAUUUGGGCCCGAGAUAUUAAACUUAUUUUUGCAAGGUGGCGGAGUGCUUGAAGCCUGCUUCACCUCCGCUGCGGGUCUGCCCGGUAUUGCACUACCUUGGUGAUCGCUUCACGGUUU